AUGGCUACCAAACGGUUGAAGGUCAAAAUUACAGUUUCAGUGCAGCUUCAAAGGGCUCUACACGAUACCAGACGAGGAAUAAGGGUCUUAUCUAGUGAAACGAUCAGCCAUUUUCUACAAAAAAAAAAAAAAAAAAAAAAAUGCAUAUUGGCUUUUUCCUCUGAUGUAGAUCUUAAACACCUGCUAGUGAAUCCUGUGAACGACUCUGAAGUUUUCAAGCUUCCUGUCACCAUGGAAACAGCCGAAGUGACCUGGAGGAUACACUAUGGAAAAUGAAUUCCAAGCAUGAACACAGACUAUUCAUGGAAAGGAAGUUAAUGGGCAUUUAAGGGUACACCAACAACAGCUAUCCUUCUUAUUCUUCACCGACAGCUAAUAGCAUAAUGACAACCAUUCACUUAUCUGCAGCUCUUCACAACAACUGUAACUGACCCAUAGAAGCUGUAACUGAUCUCCUGUCCAAUCAGAUCUCUAGCAAACACUCCUAACCAAUAUAUCUUUUAUCAAGCUUUCAGCACUUUUCCACCACCAGUGUUUGAUAUUUGUGGAGACAGCCCUAAUUACAUCUGACAGGCAGGUAGAAGAACUUGAGCUCUGGUUACCAUUUUUUUCAGCUGGUUUUCUCUUUAUUAAAUCACAUUUUAUUUGAAUUUCUUAUAGCUAACACGUAGAAGCUAAUUUCUGCCUCAGAGUAAAAAAUACAAAAAUUGAGAGUUUAAAAUAGGAAAUAAAAGUUUAAAUUAAGAAAUAAAGCUGUAUAUGAUGUUGGUUUUUAAAUCAUUAUUUACAAGCAACAUAUGAAUGGCAAGUAUUUCAUUGUGUUAUAUAUUUUUGGAUUUGUUCUGCCUUUGACUUUGUAGCUUAUGAAAGCUGCUAGUAAAGAGCAAGGAAAUGUGCAGAUGUUCAUGGUGCCGUCAGCCAAACAGCAUUGUCAUGAUGAUGUCUCUCUGCUACUGCAGGGUCACAUGACAUUUAUGGCUCAGGUCAUUGGCGUUAUGUAUUGUAGAUCACUUUUGUUAUAGAAUGAUUUUUAUUUUUUUUUGUAUUGUUUAAUAUACUACUACAGCAUUUUUUAUUACCAGUAUUGUCAUUUUAAUUGUAAUAAUGUUGUGCUUUUCUCAUUUUUAUUAGUUGUUAUGUAUGUUUAGCUUAAUUUCUUUUACAGUUUUAUUUUAUAAUUUAUUAUUAUUAUUGUUAUUUCUUAUAUACUGUUAUUUCAAUUAACAAAAAUGUUUUAUUUUUUUAUUUCUUUUAUCUCUCUUUUUUGGAGUUUAAGUUUAAUGUAACAACAAGGUUUAAUAUUUUAUUUAAAUUUUGUAUUUAAUUUUUAUUUUUUGGGGGGGAGGGGAUGACCUACUUGUGCUAAAAAAAAAACUGAAAAUGAUUAUGGUCAUCCAAUUUUUGUUGCCACUAUUGCUCUCCCUAUAGGCAGGAAUAUAACAAUAGACAUUAAGACAAUAGCAUUACUAUAUAUACUUAUUAGUUAAAGUUUUCUAUAUAAACCCCUUUCAUACUAAACCCACUAUUUUUUUUUUUCUUCUGCUGGGCUUGGUUGACAUAUUCUUUAAAAGAGCACCCCUUUCAUUUGUUUUUCCAGCUUUGUUUGCAGUAGCAAUAGCAAUGAUCUUUUGUUUGAUGAACUGUGCAGCACAGCACUAUAUUGCCAAUAUUGAGUCAACGCUUUAGGUCCACAAUAUAAUGAGAACGCACGUUGAUUAAGGCUAAAGUUAUCGGUCACACCUCUAUCUUGCCUCAACAAAGCACCAUCCCAUUCAAUUAAACAAUACUCUGACCUUAUCUUUUUCAAAUCAAUAACCAUGAUAAACAGUAGUGUCCAGUCUGACCAAUCACAAAGGUCUCUGGGCGAACCUGAUAGCAAAAGCACACAACUUUGGACAUAUGAGGUCAGGAGUUGCGUUACUCACAAUGGUUUCCAUACAUCAAUGUCUGCAGGAAUUGUUUGCCAGAGGUGGAGAAACGGAAACACAUGGCAAGAUGAAGUACAAUUGAUAUCUUGAUGUCUAAAUGAUUGUAUCAACAAUAUAUUUAUUUAGUGUUGGGUGAACAAUAAGUCCCGAACGUAUCCUUGAUUAAAAUUAAAAAUCAUAAAGUUCAAUAUUUAAUUAUUUAUUUUUGCACCACCAAAAUUAGAUGUUCAGUCUGCAUGACCAAUAUAUGAGUAUUUUACAGACAAUAUCUGUCGAUUCACUUUCGCUGGAAUAAUUUCAAGGGUCUGGCACAAACAAACAGCAGUUGAUUCGUUUCAUUCUGUUCUGGUAAGCUGCUUAAUCACAAAUUAUUUCCUGCCUGCUUAUGGUCAUAAUUAUGUAUUAAAUUACUGUAAAUGGACUUUAUCCCAAAAGCUUUUUGUGUUCUGCCAGGCAAGGCCAUUUGAAUUUAUUAUUUCUGUCCCCAAGAAUCUUCUGGUAGAUGCAGAAGUGAUUUGAAUAAAAUAUAAAUAAUAUUAUUUAAAAAC
ensembl:lncRNA